rnacentral:rRNA from 1 species
UGGGGAAUUUUGGACAAUGGGCGCAAGCCUGAUCCAGCCAUGCCGCGUGCGGGAAGAAGGCCUUCGGGUUGUAAACCGCUUUUGUCAGGGAAGAAAUCUUCUGAGUUAAUACCUCGGGAGGAUGACGGUACCUGAAGAAUAAGCACCGGCUAACUACGUGCCAGCAGCCGCGGUAAUACGUAGGGUGCAAGCGUUAAUCGGAAUUACUGGGCGUAAAGCGUGCGCAGGCGGUUUUGUAAGACAGAGGUGAAAUCCCCGGGCUCAACCUGGGAACUGCCUUUGUGACUGCAAGGCUUGAGUGCGGCAGAGGGGGAUGGAAUUCCGCGUGUAGCAGUGAAAUGCGUAGAUAUGCGGAGGAACACCGAUGGCGAAGGCAAUCCCCUGGGCCUGCACUGACGCUCAUGCACGAAAGCGUGGGGAGCAAAACAGGAUUAGAUACCCUGGUAGUCCACGCCCUAAAACGAUGUCAACUGGUUGUUGGGAAGGUUCCCUUCUCAGUAACGUAGCUAACGCGUGAAGUUGACCGCCUGGGGAGUACGGCCGCAAGGUUGAAAACUC